ACUACGGGAGGCAGCAGUGGGGGAUAUUGCACAAUGGGGGGAACCCUGAUGCAGCGACGCCGUGUGGGUGAAGGAGCGUUUCGGCGCGUAAAGCCCUAUCGGCAGGGAAGAAGAAGGACGGUACCUGACUAAGAAGCACCGGCUAAAUACGUGCCAGAAGCCGGGGUAAUACGUAUGGUGCAAGCGUUAUCCGGCGUUACUGGGUGGAAAGGGCGCGCAGGCGGCGCGUUAAGCCUGGUGUGAAAGCCCGCGGACCAACCGCGGGACUGCAUUGGGAACUGGCGCGCUGGAGUGCCGGAGGGGUAGGCGGAAUUCCUAGUGUAGCGGUGAAAUGCGUAGAUAUUAGGAGGAACACCAGUGGCGAAGGCGGCCUACUGGACGGUGACUGACGCUGAGGCUCGAAAGCGUGGGGAGCAAACAGGAUUAGAUACCCUUGUAGUC
rnacentral:rRNA from 1 species